GACGAACGCUGGCGGCGUGCCUAAUACAUGCAAGUCGAACGAACUCUGGUAUUGAUUGGUGCUUGCAUCAUGAUUUACAUUUGAGUGAGUGGCGAACUGGUGAGUAACACGUGGGAAACCUGCCCAGAAGCGGGGGAUAACACCUGGAAACAGAUGCUAAUACCGCAUAACAACUUGGACCGCAUGGUCCGAGUUUGAAAGAUGGCUUCGGCUAUCACUUUUGGAUGGUCCCGCGGCGUAUUAGCUAGAUGGUGGGGUAACGGCUCACCAUGGCAAUGAUACGUAGCCGACCUGAGAGGGUAAUCGGCCACAUUGGGACUGAGACACGGCCCAAACUCCUACGGGAGGCAGCAGUAGGGAAUCUUCCACAAUGGACGAAAGUCUGAUGGAGCAACGCCGCGUGAGUGAAGAAGGGUUUCGGCUCGUAAAACUCUGUUGUUAAAGAAGAACAUAUCUGAGAGUAACUGUUCAGGUAUUGACGGUAUUUAACCAGAAAGCCACGGCUAACUACGUGCCAGCAGCCGCGGUAAUACGUAGGUGGCAAGCGUUGUCCGGAUUUAUUGGGCGUAAAGCGAGCGCAGGCGGUUUUUUAAGUCUGAUGUGAAAGCCUUCGGCUCAACCGAAGAAGUGCAUCGGAAACUGGGAAACUUGAGUGCAGAAGAGGACAGUGGAACUCCAUGUGUAGCGGUGAAAUGCGUAGAUAUAUGGAAGAACACCAGUGGCGAAGGCGGCUGUCUGGUCUGUAACUGACGCUGAGGCUCGAAAGUAUGGGUAGCAAACAGGAUUAGAUACCCUGGUAGUCCAUACCGUAAACGAUGAAUGCUAAGUGUUGGAGGGUUUCCGCCCUUCAGUGCUGCAGCUAACGCAUUAAGCAUUCCGCCUGGGGAGUACGGCCGCAAGGCUGAAACUCAAAGGAAUUGACGGGGGCCCGCACAAGCGGUGGAGCAUGUGGUUUAAUUCGAAGCUACGCGAAGAACCUUACCAGGUCUUGACAUACUAUGCAAAUCUAAGAGAUUAGACGUUCCCUUCGGGGACAUGGAUACAGGUGGUGCAUGGUUGUCGUCAGCUCGUGUCGUGAGAUGUUGGGUUAAGUCCCGCAACGAGCGCAACCCUUAUUAUCAGUUGCCAGCAUUAAGUUGGGCACUCUGGUGAGACUGCCGGUGACAAACCGGAGGAAGGUGGGGAUGACGUCAAAUCAUCAUGCCCCUUAUGACCUGGGCUACACACGUGCUACAAUGGAUGGUACAACGAGUUGCGAACUCGCGAGAGUAAGCUAAUCUCUUAAAGCCAUUCUCAGUUCGGAUUGUAGGCUGCAACUCGCCUACAUGAAGUCGGAAUCGCUAGUAAUCGCGGAUCAGCAUGCCGCGGUGAAUACGUUCCCGGGCCUUGUACACACCGCCCGUCACACCAUGAGAGUUUGUAACACCCAAAGUCGGUGGGGUAACCUUUUAGGAACCAGCCGCCUAAGGUGGGACAGAUGAUUAGGGUAAAG
rnacentral:rRNA from 1 species